AGUCAACUCAAAUAUAAACCAAGUCUUCAAAACAUCUUUUAACAAUAAAAACUUCACCACAAAUUAUUUAUAAAUAUACCUGAGAUCCCAAGGGUCUUUGAUCACGAAACCUCAACUCUUUCUUCAAUCUUCAUCUUCUAAUUCUUCGAGACUCCGUUCAAUACUUCACGAAAUUCGCCAACUUAUAAAAUCCUUAACAAUCUCCCCCUUUGGCGAUUUCGUGACAAAAUACAAAAAAAAUUUACAAUGCUUAUCCAAAAAUAAAAAGAAGAAGGUUAUUGCAAUCACCAAACAACAACCUUCUGCAUGAUCAAUCCAAUAAAAACAAAAUUACAUUUUCACAUCCUAAUACAAACUCUAUGACUUAGGACACGACAUAGA
rnacentral:lncRNA from 1 species